GAUGAACGCUGGCGGCGUGCCUAAUACAUGCAAGUCGAGCGAACAGAUGAGGAGCUUGCUCCUCUGACGUUAGCGGCGGACGGGUGAGUAACACGUGGAUAACCUACCUAUAAGACUGGGAUAACUUCGGGAAACCGGAGCUAAUACCGGAUAAUAUAUUGAACCGCAUGGUUCAAUAGUGAAAGACGGUUUUGCUGUCACUUAUAGAUGGAUCCGCGCCGCAUUAGCUAGUUGGUAAGGUAACGGCUUACCAAGGCAACGAUGGGUAGCCGACCUGAGAGGGUGAACGGCGAAAGUGGGAAUGAGAUAGGGCCCAGACGCCUACGGGAGGAAGAAGGGGGGAAUAUUGCACAAUGGGCGGAAGACUGAUGAAGAAACGCCGCGUGCGGGAUGACGGCCUUCGGGUUGUAAACCGCUUUCGCCUGUGACGAAGCGUGAGUGACGGUAAUGGGUAAAGAAGCACCGGCUAACUACGUG
rnacentral:rRNA from 1 species